rnacentral:rRNA from 1 species
CGCGUUGUCUCAAGCUCAGCCAUGCAUGUGUAAGUAUAAAUAAUUCUACUUUGAAACUGCGAAUGGCUCAUUAUAUCAGUUAUAGUUUAUUAGAAAAAAUUUACUACUUGGAUAACCGUAGUAAUUCUAGGGCUAAUACAUGAGUAAAUCCUCGACUUUGAAGAGGUGUGUUUAUUAGUAUGAAAACCAUAUGCUUUUGCAUAAUAGUGAGUAAUAAUAACCUUUCAUAUCGUAUGUUGAAAUAACGAUAGUUCUUUCAAGUUUCUGCCCUAUCAGCUUUCGAUGGUAGUGCAUUGGACUACCAUGGCAGUAACGGGUAACGAAGAAUUUGGGUUCGAUUUCGGAGAGGGAGCCUGAGAGAUGGCUACCACAUCCAAGGAAGGCAGCAGGCGCGUAAAUUACCCAAUCCUGACAUAGGGAGGUAGUGACAAUAAAUCACAAUGCGGGACUUUUAGUUUUGCAAUUGGAUUGAGAACAAUGUAAAAGAGUUAUCGAUAAACAAUUGGAGGGCAAGUCUGGUGCCAGCAGCCGCGGUAAUUCCAGCUCCAAUAGCGUAUAUUAACGUUGUUGCAGAAAAAAAGGCCUC